GUCACCGCUGGAGCAACCCUUCGGAAUAAAGUAAAGUACGUUAAUUACGGUUUGCUAGGCGUUAGGUGUUAGGCACAAGGCGAUAGGCGGCGCGGCUAACCAUUCUCUUCCAGGUACAUGUUAAUUAUCUAGUCUUCCCCAGUAAUGCUUUGGUUAGCGCACCGUGGCGGCGAUCCAGGAGCCUCGUGCUGGUGGUGGUGGUGGUGGCGUGGCUGGCUGGCUGGCUGGCUGUGGCGGGCGUGCACGUGCUAUCAUAUGGUAUGUGAAUGAUUGAGUUUAGUAGGGUUAGUGAAAUGAUGGCCCUUGACAUUCAUUCCCAAUGCUUGUGGCUCUAUUAACUGUUUUCGGUGAGCAGUGACUGUGCGGCGGCAGGGGUGAGGAAGGGAGACGUGAGGGGCGGCCAGGUGGUGGUGGACAGUGACCGGCGCCACAGUGACAAGCCUACACGAACAUAGUGACAAUAGCCAUGAUAACAACGAAAAGAACAGCGUGUGUGUAGCCUCGGUAAACACGGACACAAGAUGGGUUAGGAUGUGUGUGGCUGGGGGUGAGUGGGGUACCUACUGCUGGUGACGGCAGCAGCCAAGACCAGCCGCAGUCUUCACCAGCAGCAAACGUGAUUACCCGUAUCACAGGUCACACCGUGGGACUGUCACCGCUGGAGCAACCCUUCGGAAUAAAGUAAAGUACGUUAAUUACGGUUUGCUAGGCGUUAGGUGUUAGGCAUAGGGCGAUAGGCGGCGCGGCUAACCAUUCUCUUCCAGGUACAUGUUAAUUAUCUAGUCUUCCCCAGUAAUGCCUUGGUUAGCGCACCGUGGCGGCGAUCCAGGAGCAUCGUGCUGGUGGUGGUGGUGGUGGUGGCGUGGCUGGCUGGCUGUCUGUCUGUCUGUCUGUGGCGGGCGUGCACGUGCUAUCAUAUGUGACUGUGCGGCAGCAGGGGUGAGGAAGGGAGACGUGAGGGGCGGCCAGGUGGUGGUGGACAGUGACCGGCGCCACAGUGACAAGCCUACACGAACAUAGUGACAAUAGCCAUGAUAACAACGAAAAGAACAGCGUGUGUGUAGCCUCGGUAAACACGGACACAAGAUGGGUUAGGAUGUGUGUGUGUGUGGCUGGGGGUGAGUGGGUACCUACUGCUGGUGACGGCAGCAGCCAAGACCAGCCACAGUCUUCACCAGCAGCAAACGUAAGUAAUAUAUUGGUGUAAGUCAUCAUUUCACGGCGCUGUCAUGUCAUACCUAACGUUGGUAACCUCCAUAACAACAUAUCAGUGAACUAACACCUGCAGGUACUUCAAAAACCCCAAUAAUUCAAGCCUUCAAUAUGUAAACAAGCCAGCUCUCUGACCCGUCACCUCUUUCUCAAGCCAUUAUCUGCCUCAUCUCUCACUCAGCACAGGCCAGACAGGUCACAAAGUGAAGCUACAGAUUUACUCUUUCAUGUUCGUCAUUGAAAUAUAUCAGCAAUUGUCUAAUUUGUGUGUUAUGGAAGCUCAGUGAAGGCAAGGGGGACUGGGAUGUGACGUCACGAGCCGCCAUGUUGUGACGUCAUCAGCGGCUCCCGCCCAAAUGUCCCGCCGGUCCCAGACUGUCGACCUCCCCUAUUAUUUAUAUUUGUCUCUGUUCAUUUAUUUCGAGUCACAAGCACCUUUUGACGGUUUCCAAUGAUAGUGGGUUGUGUUUUGCGUGUGUUCCAUGCCUGAGUUGAGUGAAGUGCAGUGAUUUAGUGUGUGUUUGGGAGUCAGAUGAGA